UACGUAGGGAGCAAGCGUUGUCCGGAAUCAUUGGGCGUAAAGCGCGCGUAGGUGGCCUCAUAAGUCCGCUGUGAAAGUCAAAGGCUCAACCUUUGAAAGCCGGUGGAUACUGUGAGGCUAGAGUACGGAAGAGGCGAGUGGAAUUCCUGGUGUAGCGGUGGAAUGCGCAGAUAUCAGGAGGAACACCAAUAGCGAAGGCAGCUCGCUGGGACGUUACUGACACUGAGGCGCGAAAGCGUGGUGAGCGAACAGG
rnacentral:rRNA from 1 species